rnacentral:rRNA from 2 species
GUGGUUCAUGACUGGGGUGAAGUCGUAACAAGGUAGCGCUAGGGGAACCUGGCGCUGGAUCACCUCCUUACACGAUGAU